rnacentral:lncRNA from 1 species
AGCAACGGUUUUAAGUAUUAAUUACGGUGUCGUGACGUUUCCAAUUUUUUAAACAAUAGGUUGACCGUGACUUUCCCGCCAGAUCGAGCCCCGUCCGUCCAUCUGGGUCUUUAAUUUAAAUGGGGAAUCCCACAAACCACUGGAUUACCUAAAUCAGAAUAUUCUCUCCAGUCCAUCUCCAGUCCAGCCAACCAAUCAACCCGCCCGUUCAAUUGGAUCUCCGCAUCCGGAUCUCCCAAAAGUCCAAUUCCAACCUUCUCCGCCGACACAGAUCUGCCUUCCAUUUUUAAAGACUGAAUAAAAAUGAUUGCAAUUCCGUACUUCACUGCUUUAACGACGUACUUUAGCUAUGGAUUGUUGUUUGUUUUUGGCCAAUUCAGAGAUUUCUUUCGCAAAAUUCUUGACUGGUGGAGCACCGACAACCUUCAGGUGAUUUUUUUUUCCGCUUGCGUGCUUCUUUCUGAUUGGCUGUUGACAUUUGGUUCUGGUGAAGCAGGGAUAUGCGCCUAUCUGCUUGGGACUGGAAGAUUUCUAUAUUCGGCGCCUGUAUAACCGAGUUCAGGUAUUUUCUGGAUUGAUUUGAUUGAAUUUUGAAAUUAAUCACGUGCUUUAAUUGAAUUUGAUUAGUGAUUUGACUUUUAAAUCAAGUGAUUAGAAUUAGACUCGAUACUGAUCAAGCAUUCAAUGAACUGAGUUUUUUUUUUUUUAAAUUGAGUCAUGGAGAUUUAUCAUGUGAUUGGGAUUUCUAAUUUGUAAUUCUAUUGUCUGGUUUGGUAUUGAGGUGCUGUAAGCUACAACUAAUGUAGAAAAAAAUGAUAAUUAUAAAAUAAAAGUUAAUAGCACGUAGUAAAUAUAAUUUUUAAUUAAUAUUUUUGAUAAAAUAAGUAAAGAUAUGAUAGAUUUUUCAUUAUAUAAGUGUAAAAUCAAAGCAACUUAGCUUUCAAGCUAGAGGAGUUAGUAUUUACUAUACUUUUAGUGCUGUAGUUUUGAAGUUACAGCUGUCUAACCUCAAUUUCAGACAAGACACAUGUUGACUAGAGGACAGGGUGGAUUUGACAAACGUAAUGGCAAAAGAAUAGUUAUGUUCUUUGUGCAAGUCAUUUUCAGUUAUGUGGUUCUUUAUCAUUUUGUUGUAUCUAACAGGAUUGCUUUGGGAGACCUUUAUCAAGUGCCCCUGAUGCAUGGUUUGAUGUCGUUGAACGUUAUUCCAAUGACAAUAAUAAGACACUCAAGUAAGUAUUUUCUCUUGUGCUUGAUGAUUAUGAUUUAGAUAGGUAUUUAGUUUCUUCUGCUGUACGGCCAAGGCGGAUGUCCGGUACAGCAGAAAAUUCAGAGGUUAAAACCACUUAGAUCGUAUCAAAUUAAAAGGUAAAAACCCCUUAUAAAAACAAAUCACACGGAUGAGAGAGAGACUCCACUCUUUCUAACCCUUCUCACAAACGGUCAUACACAAAACCCCAAACCGCACACCGCACACCGCACACCGCACACCUUCCAUCAUCCUAAUUCCUAUAGUGCUAUUGUUGAUGCAUCAAUCUGGUUAGGAUUUUGACAGAGUUAAAGCUGCCUCUUGUUUCUUCAUUUCUCUUUCUCCUUCUUCACCUAUUUCUUUUUUUUUUUUCUCUCUCUUCAAAAACUCGUCAUUACCAAAGGUAAACUUUAAAACCCACUUGCACAAACACACACAGUCAUUUAAUUCUACCUUCUUUUGUUAAUUUUAACAAAAUUUAAUGCUCACUGUUUUAUUUUAUUUUGCAUGUGGUUUUCACCCAAUAUUUGAAUCAAACAUUCGCAAGGGAUUUUAAGAGCACCCUGUAUUUUUUCCUUUCCCGUUUGCGGCGGCCCAGUGUUUAUGAUUGACACUGAUUUGUUUUUUUGUUUAUUGAUUUACACGGCCACAAGAAUUCACAUAUACUGGAUAAAUAGAUUUCUUUAUUUUUAAAUAAACUUUAAAAUUCGGUCUAAAAAAAUCAAAGUUGAUUUGCGACUCCUAACAGCAACGGUUUUAAGUAUUAAUUACGGUGUCGUGACGUUUCCAAUUUUUUAAACAAUAGGUUGACCGUGACUUUCCCGCCAGAUCGAGCCCCGUCCGUCCAUCUGGGUCUUUAAUUUAAAUGGGGAAUCCCACAAACCACUGGAUUACCUAAAUCAGAAUAUUCUCUCCAGUCCAUCUCCAGUCCAGCCAACCAAUCAACCCGCCCGUUCAAUUGGAUCUCCGCAUCCGGAUCUCCCAAAAGUCCAAUUCCAACCUUCUCCGCCGACACAGAUCUGCCUUCCAUUUUUAAAGACUGAAUAAAAAUGAUUGCAAUUCCGUACUUCACUGCUUUAACGACGUACUUUAGCUAUGGAUUGUUGUUUGUUUUUGGCCAAUUCAGAGAUUUCUUUCGCAAAAUUCUUG